rnacentral:ncRNA from 1 species
GGAUUCGGUGCCGCAGGCGAUCCCCGUCCAAGGAACCAGAGGGAGAAAGAACCGCACCAAGCCCCACCCCUCCCGCCCGUCGUUCGCACUCACUCGCGCGAGUGAACAUCGCCGGUUCGGCUGGAUCGGUGGUCCCCCAACUCCCCUACGCUCAGCGCAAACAACCGCAAACAUGCAUCGGCCCCCGGCCGGGAGUAGCAAUCCCGAUCGAGGGCCUGGCCACCGAGGAAGAAGAGAGCUUCCCG